rnacentral:miRNA from 1 species
UGAGAACUGACAAAUGUAGUAGGUGGUUGAAGUCAUCCACACAUGGUUUGCC